rnacentral:rRNA from 1 species
GUUAAAAAGCACGUAGUUGGAUCAAGAGUUCGACAGUGCACGGUGGCCCUGUUUGCCAUGGUGGUUCCGAUCGCCAGGGCGGCAGCGGAUCAACCCCGUGCGCCAAACUGUCGACUCUAACAGACCGAAACGGUUCCCUGCGAGUAGGCUCCUUCAUUGGGGUUGAAAGCGCUUACGCAUCAACCAUAUGCAUACGGGACGUCGGUCAAAGUUACUGUGAACAAACCAGCGUGUCCAAAACAGGCUUUCGCCUGAAUGUUCGAGCAUGGAAUAACAAGGGAUCGAUUCUCUCGGUUCUUUUUGUUGGUUUUUAACCCGAGAAGGAGUAAUUCAGGCCACGGUGUCUGAGUUGGGUUCCCCUUCACCUCGGUGGAGGCCCCAAUUAGGCCGUGUCCUUACGGGAUCAAUAGGGACUGACGGGGUC